GCAAGCGCAGCAUCACGCGCUUCCAGUUGGAAUGCACGCGAGGGACGUAAUAUAUAAAUACAAAGAUAGCAACAGCUGCAGAGGAGAUCUCACAAAACACUGAGACACCAGUGUCUUUCAAAGCGCAAGGAAAACCAGUAUAGACCCUGGAAACUGAGCUUAAUUGAUCUGCAGUGCUGUGAGUAUCAAGGGAGAGAUCGAUGUGUGAUAGCAAAGCAGAGGUCUAAAAUACCCAGCCCGCAACCCAGCACUAUGUCAUUGUAUUGAACAUUUAACAUAAUGUUACAUGAUAGACGUUAUACCUUUAUAGCUCUCCUGAUUUGCCUUCUUCAGGUCAGGUGUUCUGACAGAACACCAUACCCAUCAGAAGGGUAUUCCUGCACAACCGGAGGCUGCAGUUUCAGGACCGCAGUUCUAGGACUGCAGUUCUAGGACCCUAGUUUUUUUUUUUUGUGACAGCGCCACCUACCGUACUGGAUCAACACUAAUUAAAGAUGGACGACAUGGACAGCAAUCAGACGGCCAUCAUAUAUGCCCUGGCUGCCCUCCGGAAUUUGUCCUUGCAGGAGGCUGAGCAGGUCUUCCUUUCUGGUCCAGAUUAUCAUUUCAGUGAAGUGGAAGAACUUAAUAGAAAGAUUGACAAACAAUUGAGGAAAGAAGGGAGAUCAUUCAAUUGAGUUGAAGCCUACAGCCAUUCUAUCCUUG